CACAUGUGGUUCUGUGGUUGCCCACACAGUCUUAAAAAUAGCCAACAGGAACCCAGGGGCUCCCCCUUGGUGAGUGGCAGCAUGCCCGGUCCUCAGGCAGCCACCGAUCUGCUCAUUCGCCACAGGCAAGCACGUCCUGUCUAGGGACGGGCUGGGUGGCCUGGGUCCCAUGCAUGAUGAGCCAGAGGCUGUGCCAAGCUUGUAGCAAAGAUUAUUUUAUUUCAUUAUGUUUUCUUACGUCUGUGAUGUGGAGGCCAUGGCUCCACUGGACUCAUGAGGAGACUGAGGCUCAGAGCAAUGAAGUGACCUGCUCAAAGUUAAGGAGCUUCAUUGAGGACCCAAGUUGUUCUGAUCCUAAGGUCACCAUCCUUAAUCCCUCUCCCUGUGGGGUCUUCCCUAUCUUGAACCUGGAGACAGCUGUGCAGUGGCAAGAGAAAGACCUUCAGAGCCACACUGACGUGGCCUCCCUGAUGACCCCUGAUGGCCUUGCAUGCUUGCCCUUGGGACUCAGACACCAUAUUUUGAGGAAGCCCAAGCUACAUGCAGAGGCCACUAUAGAUGUUCUGGCCAACAGCCCAAGCUUCAGCUGCCAGACAUAUGAAUAAACCAAGUCUUCAAAUGA